UCUUUUCCUCUUUUCCUCCUUAGUCCUCCCUGAGAGGAAAGAUUCUCUUGUCUAUCCUCUGUAUCAGCAGAGAAUCAUUCUUAUAAGGAAAAACAACAUGUAAUCAAAAUACAAAGGAUUUUUGCCAGACAUUUGCCUGGGGAAGCUGCCUGUUUAUUGUCAUGGUUUUGUGAUUUUUUUUUGUUGUCGGUAUUCCACAUCAUAACAUCAUGUAAAGCACUGGCAGUUAAAGUGUUAAUGUUCCGGUUCUGUGGGCUGCCGUUUCUGGGUGCUCGGUUUUGGAGGGGAGGAGCUGCACUCCCCAGGGCCCUGUGCGCCUGGAGCGGCUGGUGAAGCCGCCUGGGGGACCGGGAGUUUCUUUGUUUCGUUCGCUGCGGAGAAGUACGUGGUUGCCCUGCAGCUUACAGAGUAAGACUUGGGUUUUGGACUCUCUCACUUUAUUCGACUUGUUGGCCUCAAUUCUGAUAUCAUAUUUAGUAAAUCAACGUUCCUCCUCAGAUUGUUGCUGCUGUUUUGUUUUAGACCCGUGUACUAUUCCCCUACCGUUUCUUCUUUUCCCUUUUUUUUUUACCUCAGAGCGUGGGUCCGCGUGUCUCCUGCCGCGUUAGUCACGGGACCGGGCGGGGCCGGCCCCUAAACCGCCGACAUUUUUUUUUCCGUUCUUUCUUUUCCGGGCCUGCGGGCCUACUCUCACCCUGUGGUGGACAUAGAUGCCGAGAUAACUCCGUGACGCUUAUUUGCUUGAAUACUUGAUUACUUGAGUACAGUCCUUCCAAGACAGGAGAAGGAUGUUCCAGCCAGCCCUGGCUUCCAGUGAUACCAGUUCAAGUCUCAGGACCUGUCUCAGGACAGGGUGGAUCAGGCAUAGCUAUUCCUUUGACGUUUUGUUCCAUAAGUGAAGGUGAAGGGAAGAAAUUCAGUCCCUUCCUUCUGUCUGACUCAUCAUGGUGGAGAAGUUUUGACAUCAGAGUCCAGCCCCCCGGAAACGAAGCGCUGUCGCAGAUGCAGUCUGCCUUUAAAAGUGAGUCAGGUGAUCAUUACGUUUUUUCUCCAAAGGCUGUACACUUCUACUCAAGUCUGAUUGCUACCGUAGGAGCCCAGAUCUUGGGAAUACCUAGCAUACAUUCUUCUGUAGCUCUGCAUGGACUGGAUUUCAUCUAAGACCCAGCUCAGACAGAUCUUAGAUUGGGACCUAUGACAGAUGGAGUUUCCCUGAAACCAUCAUCACAUGUUCACAGAUUAACUGGGUUCAGCUCACAUCUUCUCAGUUCAAUCUGAAAGAGAAAAUAAAAUAUAACAGGUCAGAUUUCA
rnacentral:lncRNA from 1 species